rnacentral:rRNA from 1 species
AGCGAACGCUGGCGGCAGGCCUAACACAUGCAAGUCGAACGAAGUCUUCGGACUUAGUGGCGGACGGGUGAGUAACACGUGGGAGCGUGCCUUUAGGUUCGGAAUAACUCAGGGAAACUUGUGCUAAUACCGAAUGUGCCCUUCGGGGGAAAGAUUUAUCGCCUUUAGAGCGGCCCGCGUCUGGUUAGCUAGUUGGUGAGGUAAAGGCUCACCAAGGCUACGAUCAGUAGCUGGUCUGAGAGGAUGACCAGCCACAUUGGGACUGAGACACGGCCCAAACUCCUACGGGAGGCAGCAGUGGGGAAUCUUGCGCAAUGGGCGAAAGCCUGACGCAGCCAUGCCGCGUGGAUGAUGAAGGUCUUAGGAUUGUAAAAUCCUUUCACCGGUGAAGAUAAUGACUGUAGCCGGAGAAGGAGCCCCGGCUAACUUCGUGCCAGCCGCCGCGGUAAUAC